AUGGACCUUGGGCGUCUCAACUAUGGGAUCGUUACCCUCAUCCCCAAGGUCGGUGCCUCCGAUAUCCUCCAGUUUCGGCCUAUCACAAUGAUCAAUGUGAUAUUCUGGAUCCUGACUAAAGGGUACGCCAAUAGGGUGACCCUGCUUGCUGACUUUGUUACCCACCCCAACCAACCCGCCUUCAUUCAAGGCCGAUUUAUUCUGAAUAGGGUGUUGGUCUUCCACGAAGUCCUUCACGAGGUCCGGGUGAAACACCAUCACGCGGUCUUUCUGAAGCUCGACUUCCACAAAGCGCACGACACAGUCCACUGGCCUUUCCUGCGAGAAGUACUGCUCCGCAAGGGCUUCGACGAUCGGUGGGUGACCAAAGUUAUGCAGCUCGUCUCCUGCGGUCAGACCGCUGUGAACAUUAACGGUGAGAUCGGCCCCUACUUCCCCACCCUCUGUUGGGUCUGUCAGGGUGACCCGUUCUCACCGUUCCUGUUUAACAUGGUGGUUGAUGCCCUUGCCGUCAUCCUUGAUAAGGCCAAAGCUGUUGGCCAUAUUCGCGGCAUUGUUCCCCAGCUGGUAGGAGGGCCAGGGGUCUCCCUCCUGCAAUAUGCGGACGAUGCCAUAAUAAUGGUGGAGGGUAUGGUUCAGGACAUUGCUAACGUGAAGUUCCUCCUCCUGUGCUUCCAACAGAUGUCGGGGCUCACAAUCAACUUCGAUAAGAGCGAAGUGAUGAUUCUUGGGUACUCUCCGGCAGAAGCUCCGGAUAUUGCGAACCGACUGAACUGUCGGUUGGGUUCUUUCCCCACGACCUACUUGGGGAUCCCCAUUAGUGAUUCGCGCCUCACCGUGGCUGACCUUCGCCCCACGGUGACCCGGAUGCAACAUCGGGUUGAGCCCUGGAAAGGGCGGUGA
rnacentral:rRNA from 1 species